ACUACGAGCUCCGUGAUGCCUCGCGCGCCCCAUCUGCGCAUGCGCCGCCCUUCCCCCAGCGAGUGUGUGACCCGACGUGGAGCCAGGAGCCCAGAGCCUAGUGAGGGGCGGGGACCGGGGCGUUGCGGGGGCGCGCCCUUCUCGGGAGUCUCUGGGCUGCGGUGGCGGACUACGACUUUGAUCCGGGUGAGGGCUCUGCGAAUGGGCAAGCAAAACCCUCUGAGUCCGGGCCUCGUUGCUCGGUGCUGUGUGUUAAGCGCCUGCGCUGUGCUAGGACCGGGCGUGCUGCCGUGGGCAAAAAGUGAUGCUUUCCUGAAGCGUAAAGUUCUGGGAGGGACGACCAAGAGGACAGCGGAUGCGUCCUGCCCCGGUAGCUACGCGGCCGGUGGAAGAGCAGAGACCAGCACGGGCGAUGCGGCGGGGCCGGGCUUGCUGCACCGCUCUGCGCCGCGGGGUGAUGGGGAGAGGCGCCUUCAUUGGGGAUGAAGGGCGGGCAGCUGCCCGGAGGAGGUCCUGGAGCCCGGUGGGAACAGCCUCUUCGGGACUGCUCCGAGAGACGGUGUGCAGAGCCUGGCGUGCUCGCUGAGCUGUAAAAGAAGAACAGAACCUACCUGCAGGGCAGAGUGAGAACAGAGCCAGCCAGUGUGAAGAGGGCUCUCCAGAGCUUGGCGCAGAGCUCACAGCAGAGUUUUGCUGUUGUUGCCCAGGCUGGAGUGCACUGGUGCGAUCUCAGCCUUUCACC